rnacentral:rRNA from 1 species
AUUGAAUUUCUGAAAACCAAUUUAAAUAAACCAAAAUUUUAAACACGGGAUCUCUUGGGUUCUGGGCACAAUGAAAACCCAACCAAUUGCAAUAAAAUGGGAAUUGCAAAAUUCCUGGAAUCA